CGAGAGCGUAUAGGCUAGCUGGUCGGCCGGCGGAUGCGCAAUCCGCUGGUCGAGGAUGUUGACUACCGCCCCCUCCCCCUCGCCCA
rnacentral:tRNA from 1 species